CGAGGGGCAGCGGGGGUGCAGGCUUGCCUGCGCCUGCCGGCGACCGGCGCACGGGUGAGUAACACGUAUGGAACCUGCCCGCCACAGGGGGAUAACCCGGGGAAACCCGGCCUAAUACCCCAUGCCGUCCGGACCGGGCAUCCGGUCCGGGCGAAAGGAGGAAUCCGGUGGCGGCUGGGCAUGCGGCGCAUUAGCUUGACGGCGGGGUAACGGCCCACCGUGGCGACGAUGCGUAGGGGUUCUGAGAGGAAGGCCCCCCACACUGGAACUGAGACACGGUCCAGACUCCUACGGGAGGCAGCAGUGAGGAAUAUUGGUCAAUGGGCGGAAGCCUGAACCAGCCAAGUCGCGUGAGGGAAUAAGGCCCUACGGGUCGUAAACCUCUUUUGCCGGGGAGCAAGGGCCGGGACGCGUCCCGGCCCGGAGAGUACCCGGAGAAAAAGCAUCGGCUAACUCCGUGCCAGCAGCCGCGGUAAUACGGAGGAUGCGAGCGUUAUCCGGAUUUAUUGGGUUUAAAGGGUGCGUAGGCGGGCUUUUAAGUCAGCGGUAAAAAUUCGGGGCUCAACCCCGUCCGGCCGUUGAAACUGGGGGCCUUGAGUGGGCGAGAAGAAGGCGGAAUGCGUGGUGUAGCGGUGAAAUGCAUAGAUAUCACGCAGAACCCCGAUUGCGAAGGCAGCCUUCCGGCGCCCUACUGACGCUGAGGCACGAAAGUGCGGGGAUCGAACAGGAUUAGAUACCCUGGUAGUCCGCACAGUAAACGAUGGA
rnacentral:rRNA from 1 species